UACGAAGGGGGCUAGCGUUGCUCGGAAUCACUGGGCGUAAAGCGCACGUAGGCGGCUUUCUAAGUCAGGGGUGAAAUCCUGGAGCUCAACUCCAGAACUGCCUUUGAUACUGGAGAGCUUGAGUCCGGAAGAGGUGAGUGGAACUCCGAGUGUAGAGGUGAAAUUCGUAGAUAUUCGGAAGAACCCCAGUGGCGAAGGCGGCUCACUGGUCCGGUACUGGCGCUGAGGUGCGAAAGCGUGGGGAGCAAACAGG
rnacentral:rRNA from 1 species